GAUCAGAUUCACCUACCGAAAG
rnacentral:rRNA from 1 species